rnacentral:lncRNA from 1 species
UAAACUUUAUCUUUCUUAGUCUUUGCUUUGUUAUCGUUACACGACAACGAGUAAAGAGGGGCAGCUAACUACUCAGCCCAAUAACAGACCCAAACUUAAGCCCAAAACCCGAAUGACCCAAAUCAAAAAAAAAAGAGAGAAGAAAAAACCCUUGGUCUUCUGCUAUCGCCGCUUCUAGCUCUACUCGUAGCCACCGACGCCACCUGCUCUCUAACACCAACC